rnacentral:rRNA from 1 species
AGUGAACGCUGGCGGUAGGCCUAACACAUGCAAGUCGAACGGCAGCACAGUAAGAGCUUGCUCUUACGGGUGGCGAGUGGCGGACGGGUGAGGAAUACAUCGGAAUCUACUUUUUCGUGGGGGAUAACGUAGGGAAACUUACGCUAAUACCGCAUACGACCUACGGGUGAAAGCAGGGGAUCUUCGGACCUUGCGCGAUUGAAUGAGCCGAUGUCGGAUUAGCUAGUUGGCGGGGUAAAGGCCCACCAAGGCGACGAUCCGUAGCUGGUCUGAGAGGAUGACCAACAAGAUGAGAAGGGAGACAGGGACAGUAAUCCGGCGGGGGGCGACAGUGGGGAAUAUGGGACAAGGGGCGCAAGUGUGACCCAGCCAUACCGCGGGGGUGAAGAAGUCCUGGGGGUUGUAAAUCCUUUUUGUGGGGAAAAAAAAGAAGCAGUUUAAUACCCCGCUGUUCGGAGGUUACCAAAAAAAAAGGCCCGGGCAAGCUUGGUG